rnacentral:rRNA from 1 species
GUCGAGCGAGAAAGCGGCCUUCGGGCCGUGAGUAAAGCGGCGAACGGGUGAGUAACACGUGGGUAAUCUGCCCAGGAGUGGAGAAUAACUCGGGGAAACUCGGGCUAAUACUGCAUGCGCUCCGGAGGCCUUGGCUGUCCGGAGGAAAGGUGGCCUCUACAUGUAAGCUGCCGCUCUUGGAGGAGCCCGCGUCCGAUUAGCUUGUUGGUGGGGUAACGGCCUACCAAGGCUGCGAUCGGUAGCCGGCCUGAGAGGGUGAUCGGCCACACUGGAACUGAGACACGGUCCAGACUCCUACGGGAGGCAGCAGUGGGGAAUAUUGCGCAAUGGGCGAAAGCCUGACGCAGCAACGCCGCGUGAAGGAUGAAGGCCUUCGGGUCGUAAACUUCUGUCAGGAGGGGAGAACGCUCGUGGGUUAAUACCCUGCGAGUCUGACGGUACCUCCACAGGAAGCCCCGGCUAACUCCGUGCCAGCAGCCGCGGUAAUACGGAGGGGGCAAGCGUUAUUCGGAAUUAUUGGGCGUAAAGGGCGCGUAGGCGGCUUGGUAAGUCGAAGGUGAAAUCCCACGGCUCAACCGUGGAACUGCCUUCGAAACUGCCUCGCUAGAGUCCG